rnacentral:rRNA from 1 species
CAGUAGCCACGGUAAUACAGAGGGUGCGAGCGUUAAUCGGAUUUACUGGGCGUAAAGCGUGCGUAGGCGGCUUCUUAAGUCGGAUGUGAAAUCCCUGAGCUUAACUUAGGAAUUGCAUUCGAUACUGGGAAGCUAGAGUAUGGGAGAGGAUGGUAGAAUUCCAGGUGUAGCGGUGAAAUGCGUAGAGAUCUGGAGGAAUACCGAUGGCGAAGGCAGCCAUCUGGCCUAAUACUGACGCUGAGGUACGAAAGCAUGGGGAGCAAACAGGAUUAGAGACCCCUGUAGUCCCUGUCUCUUAUAA